rnacentral:rRNA from 1 species
UACGAGGGCCCCAAGCGUUAUCCGGAUUUAUUGGGCGUAAAGCGUCCGUAGGUGGUUUAUCGCAUCUCCUGUUAAAUCUCGAGGCUCAACCUCGAGUCAGCGGGAGAGAUGGAUAAGCUAGAGGCUGGAAGAGGCAAACGGAAUUGCUGGUGUAGGGGUUAAAUCCAUUAAUAUCAGCAAGAACACCAAAUGCGAAGGCAGUUUGCUAGGACAGUCCUGACACUCAGUGGACGAAAGCGUGGGGAGCGAAUGGGAUUAGAUACCCCAGUAGUCCACGCCGUAAACGUUGGAUACUAAGCAUUGGCAGUAUCGACCCUGCCAGUGUUGUUAAUAUAAGGAAACCCGUUAAGUAUCCCGCCUGGGGAGUACGAGCGCAAGCUUAAA